GACGAACGCUGGCGGCGUGCUUAACACAUGCAAGUCGAACGGAAAGGCCCUGCUUGCAGGGUACUCGAGUGGCGAACGGGUGAGUAACACGUGGGUGAUCUGCCCUGCACUUCGGGAUAAGCCUGGGAAACUGGGUCUAAUACCGGAUAGGAGCCAUUUUUAGUGUGAUGGUUGGAAAGUUUUUUCGGUGUAGGAUGAGCUCGCGGCCUAUCAGCUUGUUGGUGGGGUAAUGUCCUACCAAGGCGGCGACGGGUAGCCGGCCUGAGAGGGUGGACGGCCACAGUGGGACUGAGAUGCGGCCGAGACUCCUACGGGAGGGAGCAGGGGGGAAUAUUGCACAAGGGGCGCAAGCCUGAUGCAGCGACGCCGCGUGGGGGAUGACGGCCUUCGGGUUGUAAACUCCUUUCGCUAGGGACGAAGCUUUUUGUGACGGUACCUAGAUAAGAAGCACCGGCUAACUACGUG
rnacentral:rRNA from 1 species